rnacentral:rRNA from 1 species
AGCGAACGCUGGCGGCAGGCUUAACACAUGCAAGUCGAGCGGGCACUUUCGGGUGUCCGCGGCGGACGGGUGAGUAACGCGUGGGAACGUGCCCUCUGGUUCGGAAUAACUCAGGGAAACUUGAGCUAAUAACGGAUACGCCCUUUUGGGGGAAGGCUUGCUGCCGGAGGAUCGGCCCGCGUCUGAUUAGCUAGUUGGUGAGGUAACGGCUCACCAAGGCGACGAUCAGUAGCUGGUCUGAGAGGAUGAUCAGCCACACUGGGACUGAGACACGGCCCAGACUCCUACGGGAGGCAGCAGUGGGGAAUAUUGGACAAUGGGCGCAAGCCUGAUCCAGCCAUGCCGCGUGAGUGAUGAAGGCCUUAGGGUUGUAAAGCUCUUUUAUCCGGGACGAUAAUGACGGAACCGGAGGAAUAAGCCCCGGCAAACUUCGU